UCAGCGGCAGACGGGUGAGUAACGCGUGGGAACGUACCUUUUGGUUCGGAACAACACAGGGAAACUUGUGCUAAUACCGGAUAAGCCCUUACGGGGAAAGAUUUAUCGCCGAAAGAUCGGCCCGCGUCUGAUUAGCUAGUUGGUGAGGUAACGGCUCACCAAGGCGACGAUCAGUAGCUGGUCUGAGAGGAUGAUCAGCCACAUUGGGACUGAGACACGGCCCAAACUCCUACGGGAGGCAGCAGUGGGGAAUAUUGGACAAUGGGCGCAAGCCUGAUCCAGCCAUGCCGCGUGAGUGAUGAAGGCCCUAGGGUUGUAAAGCUCUUUUGUGCGGGAAGAUAAUGACGGUACCGCAAGAAUAAGCCCCGGCUAACUUCGUGCCAGCAGCCGCGGUAAUACGAAGGGGGCUAGCGUUGCUCGGAAUCACUGGGCGUAAAGGGUGCGUAGGCGGGUCUUUAAGUCAGGGGUGAAAUCCUGGAGCUCAACUCCAGAACUGCCUUUGAUACUGAAGAUCUUGAGUUCGGGAGAGGUGAGUGGAACUGCGAGUGUAGAGGUGAAAUUUCGUAGAUAUUCGCAAGAACACUAGUGGC
rnacentral:rRNA from 1 species